CUAGUGGGAAAACUUUCCCCUAUUCUUUUCUCUCAUCUGCGACUUCACCUUCAUUGCCUUUUUUAACCUAAUUCAUUCAUUUUCAUUCUUUGCUGCAUGUGUCUUCCAGAUUACUCUCACCCAUAGCAAAUCCCCAUCCCUUUCUCUAUUGUCUGAACUUCAGAGUCGUCAAAGUUCCGAAGAAACUGCACAAGCUAUGAGAGGCCAAAAUCUACCACAUUCUUCUGGCUCAACUCAUGCCCCGAGUUUUGGAAAGGAAAAUACGGGUGAUGCAAUUGAAAAUGGAGGCCACAAAUCAAUUUGAUUCAUUAAAGUGAACGGUGAAGACCUUCUGAACAAUUGUAAUGUUUAUUUUUAUUGAUACUGUAAAUAUGAGUACAUUUGGUUUGUAGAGCUCUUUGCUAGUGAACCUCUUGAACCAACAGUACUUUAUUACUGUAGAUAGUACACAAAGUAUGUUUCUUUGUUGAA